CCUGGGAGAAACCUUCUCGGGCCCAAAUGGCUUUAACAACACCCCAAGCUCUGCAAACCGUUCUUGUUGCAAAAGGCGCGCACUAAACUCAAGCAAUCCUUCUAAAGCCUCCGCACGCUGUUGGUAUGACGAGGUGUCAAACCGGCGCUGCUGUCUAGAGUCUGAAGAUGAACGGCUUGAAACACCACUUGUUGGAUUAUGCUCCGAGCAUUCACUUCCAAUUCGCUGGCAAGCAUCAGUUACACGGUGCUUGGAUACAGCUCUCUCUAGAACCUGAACUGUACACUUGUCCUUUGUGAUUGAGCAGUCCACGCUGUAGGGUGAUGAAGAGAAUUGUGCUGAAGUUGAUGUUCCAUGGAUGGGAAUCAAAGGAUCUUCAGAAGAGGCUAGUGGAAAUUCUGCGAUCUUGUCAAUUCGUGGAGCAUUCACAGAAACGUUUGGAGAAUCCAUGCUAU
rnacentral:lncRNA from 1 species